rnacentral:rRNA from 1 species
CCUACGGGAGGCAGCAGUGAGGAAUAUUGGUCAAUGGACGAGAGUCUGAACCAGCCAAGUAGCGUGAAGGAUGACUGCCCUAUGGGUUGUAAACUUCUUUUAUAUGGGAGUAAAAUGUUCCACGUGUGGGAUUUUGUAUGUACCAUAUGAAUAAGGAUCGGCUAACUCCGUGCCAGCAGCCGCGGUAAUACGGAGGAUACGAGCGUUAUCCGGAUUUAUUGGGUUUAAAGGGAGCGUAGGUGGAUUGUUAAGUCAGUUGUGAAAGUUUGCGGCUCAACCGUAAAAUUGCAGUUGAAACUGGCAGUCUUGAGUACAGUAGAGGUGGGCGGAAUGCGUGGUGUAGCGGUGAAAUGCAUAGAUAUCACGAAGAACUCCGAUUGCGAAGGCAGUUCACUGGACUGCAACUGACACUGAGGCUCGAAAGUGUGGGUAUCAAACAGGAUUAGAUACCCCAGUAGUC